AAAGGACAGGGGUACCUGUGGCUUCAUGAUGGCCAAGAAAAGAGAAUCAAUGGAGAGGAACUAAUCCAAGGUGAUGAAGAUGUGGAUAUACCAUCAUGCUGAGGAUCCCCUUGACAUGGGGAGAGGAGGUUUUGCAGGGACAGAAAUAGAGACAUCUGUCUCAUUUACCUGUAAUUCAGUUUGUUUCGUUCACAUGUCGUACACCUAGCAGCAAAACACCUUUCCAAAUCUCUGCCUCUAGUGUAAAGAGCCCAGCUGCCCAAGAGGCAGCUGAGUCCUAAGUCUUGGCCCUGAUCUGGAGCAUCAGCUAUGUGCUGUAGUGCGGGUCACUUAGGCUGUAGUCUAAGCCUUAGUUUUCUGAUUAGUGAAAUGGGGUUAACAAUAAUGCCUACUUCAUAGUGUUGCUGUUUGCUGCUCAGCUGCUGGUCUGGGGGCAGUGUCUCUGGUGUGUUUUGAGUCUGGGCCAUAUGGUCAAUGAUGUCACAAUGCCCUACUAGAUUUCAGCUUCUCCACUAGGGAGUUGUGGAUCCUUUGGAGCCAAAGACUCGAACAGACAUGCGAGACCUCUACCAACUGAAGGUUUCGUGAGCGCACUCCUUUGCCAAGAUCUUGGUGAAUAGUCUUUCACUGUGCAAUUUUAUCUUAGAAAUUGUUUUACGUUUGAUCAUGAUUGUGCUUGGCUGGAUGUUUUUUGUUGGACUUGUGUGUUACAUGGGCACGUUUCCAGAGUUGAUGCCUCCAACUCUGAAGUGGCAGGAGAGGUGGCCUGUUCAGGAGAGCAAAACACAACUGAGGAGGCGGGCUUUAGGUGAAGAUCUGCUGCAGAACCAUGUGGAAGGGAUAUAAAUAUCCCCCAGGAGGGACUCCAGUGGAAGUAAGCAAGGAUGAUCCUGGUGAAGUAAUGCAGCUGUGAAGCUCACCUGACCAGCUGUACAGUUCCUGUUGUUGGUUUCACAUAAAGUAAUUGCAC
rnacentral:lncRNA from 10 species